UUUGCCAAAAAUCCUUAAAAGGGUUAGCCUUUGGAUCUCAAACUCCACUUUUUUUCCAAACAAAAUUCUCUCUCUCUCUCUCUUUAUCUUGAUGGUUGAGAUUUUGGGGAUUAUAUGUUGGUUUGAGAGGUUGAAGCUGCCAGCAUGAUCUGAUUUUAAUUUGCUGAAAUUCCCUUUUAGUGAUUUUCAUAAACCAAUAUUGAAUUAAUUACACAAAAUGGGUUUUGGAUCUUGAUGUUGUUUUUUCUGAAAAAAAAAGGGUUUUUUUUUUUGUUUGAAAAAUCAGGUCAUUCUAGCAGCUUCAAUCACUCAUUCACCAACAAUUUUAAAACAAACACAUUUAACAAUGGCUGCAAUUUCUUCAUUUCAGGUUCAAAAAGAAGAAAGAAUGAAAGGGGAAGGCUCUCUCUACUGGGAAGAGUAAGGGAAAAGCGAAGGUGGCCGACAAGGGCAAGUGUUUCCACUGCAAUGUAAAAGGUCACUGGAAGUGGAACUUCCCAAAGUAUCUUGCUGAGAAGAAGAAGGAAAAGGAAGGGAAGUAGUUCCUUCCAGUAGUUUGUUGAGGGAGAUAUGAUGCUCAAGGUUGCAAUUGGAGAUGCCAUUUCAGCUUGUGCAAUGGGAGUUACGAAGUUAUUUUUUGGAAAUAGAUUUCUUUUCUUAGAAAUUCUGUAUAGUGUUCCUAAAAUGAAAAGGAACUUAGUAUCUAUUUCUUGCUUAGU